UUUAUUUGUGGUUUAUCAACUCAAAGUAUCUCGGAUAGCUACAGAGAUAAUAAAAUAGCUUUGAGGCCACAGAACAGGUCAAUUUCUCCUUGACAUGUCUUGUAGUUAUGUGUAUUUCAGUACGAUGAUAUUGACAUCUUUCAGAGACAAAAUAUUCACAGAUAAUAAAAUUACACAUCUUAUACUUUGUUUAAAAGGGUGCUGUUGAGGGAAGGUUCUGCCCAGGAACAACUAGUUUCAAGGUCUGAAGUUUUUUCUAAAUCCCAAAUGACCACACAAUAUCCCAUGAAUGAUAUAAUGAUUAAGACUUUGUCCUGUGAAUCACAAUCUAUUUGUGAUCACAUAACAACCCUGCAGAAACUCUAGUGAUUUUUUACAUGGCAAACUAAUGUUGGGAGCAUUUAAUGUUUUUAUAACAGUCUUCACUGCCUUGGGGAUUUUGGCUUUUUGGUAAAAGAGUUACUCACUCCCAUCUUCUUUUGUUUCUUCAUUGGAUAGCCCCUUCACUUCUGCAAUGUUUCUCUCUAUUGGCAAUCAAUAAAGUAAGCACCAUGGACUUUGGGUUGGGAGCCACUGACCUAGUUCAUGCUGGGCAUGUUUGGAGGCUAAACACAUGAAAAAGCCUAGUCAUUCCCAUGCUAGAAUUACAAAAUUUUAUUAGCAUACGCACUGCCAGGCUAGCAGCAUUAGACUGUUUUUCCUCUCUCCACAGUCAAAUGGGAAGAAAUUGCUAUUUAUAUAUAACCUCCCAUCUAACUAAGCUUACUUUCCAAUUCCAAAUCUACCUAUGGAUUCAAACUUUUUGACAACUUUCUUGGAUGUGGACUUUCUGGGGUUCCAUCUAUCUUAGAUACUUACAUGGUUCCCACUACCAUAGUGUCUGAGCCCCUCACAAUCUUUAACAACCCCACAACACCCCUGUGAGCUAGGGUAGUGCUAUUAUCCUGAUUUUGCAGAUGGGGAUCUGCAUCGCAGGUAGACUAAGGGCCAGAUUUUUAAAGAUAUCUAGGCACCUAACAUCCUGUGACUAAAGGUGACUAAAUACCUUUGAAAUCUGUGCCUAAGUGAUUUGCCCUAGGCCACACAGGAGAUCUGUGGCAGAGCAGGGACUUGGAAUCAGAUUUCUCAGGUACCAGGCUAGUACUGGUCCUCCUUCAUCCUUGGUUCCCCUGCAGAGUAUGACUUACAUACUGGCUAAGAUCAGGCACUAGGUACGAUUCCAUUUUAUUGCAUCUGUGCACAGCUAUAAUCAGGUAAUGCAGAUCCAGAUUUCUCAAGACAAAAUUAAACAAGAUUUUCUGAGUCAGACAAACCUGUUUGUUUCAUAGUUACUGUAUCUGCUCCUUUGCUGACAUGAAAGGUGUUCAGUAUUCCUGUGGAUGUGUGAUGUCUCUCUUGGUGCUCCAGAGUGCACUAUAUAGAUAACAUUUUUAUGGUAUAUUUGCAGAGCUGUGUAGGAAAGCUUAGACAGUGCUCACCCAUGCUAUGCCUGACUUUAGUCAGUCCAUUUCUGUUAGCACUAAAUUGGCCCACACAAAUUUUAUUUAAUGUACUGGUGGCCCGACCACAUUGUAUUUUUUUGGUUUCCUUGAGGAAGUCCUCCAAGAUCCCUGAAGAUCUUUUUCUUUCCUUCUCAGCCACAUUUUUCUUGGUUUUCGUUUUUUUCACAGAUACACAGACACACUUGCCCCUGAAUCCAAAAAAACAUAGCUAAUAUUCUCUUGGCCAAAGAGUACAUCAGUUCUACUCAUCCGUCAAUCAAAGGGCAUUCCUGGCCAGGGCUGGAGCAUGUUAUCUUCAUAUAAUUCCUAACCUCUUGCCAGAACAAGAAGGAAGAAACUAAAACCCUAAAAUUGUCUUCCACAAAACAAUACAGAGCACAUAUUGUUAGGCCAUUGGUCUGGCUGAUCUAUCAGGGCAAAAUAUGAGUGGAUAAUGUUGUGUUUUUGCUGUAAAAGCAUAUGUGGAACUCAUUUGCAUGUUCAUAUGGAAUGUGUUGCAAAAGUGUUUCAGGUUUUGCAGCUUCAUCUUCCAUGUGAUGUUGUGUCUAUUCCCAAUAGGCACAAGAGAACACUUCAAGUUGGCUGCUUCUACAUGCAAAUAUUUGCCUGAAAUAUAUUUGUAAGGUCACUCACAACCGAAGCCUUGAAAAUCACAAAAAAAAACAACCCCAGUACGUUUUCACAAUUGAAAUUAAGUAGGUCAAGAUUCCACCUAGCCUGCCUGGUAAUGUGUUCUACAAGCUAAUGAGUUUGUGAGAGAAAAACCACAUGUUAUGAGGUUGCCAAGGUGAGCAUACAACCUCAUUACAAACCCAUGAACAGCAGAUAUAAUCUCUGAUUUUUGUUUUAUCUUUACCAAACAAUAUACUCUUAAAAUACCUUACUAUACAUACAAACUUUGGGGGAUAUUGCUGUAGGUAAAAGUUAUUCUAGUAAUAUAAUUAGUUGCUAUGCUGAUUACUGAGUGUAUCCCUUCAUCUUAAUGAGCAGGAACACCUGGAAGAUGUGCCUUAUGUACCUACAUAGCAUUUGUUUCUUUAAGAUAAGAGGGAUGGAUAAAAGAGACCCGUGGUGUCACAGUGUGACUGACCCCUUUAAGAGGGAGCAGAGCCAGUGCACCUGUGAUUGGUCAGCUGAUCCCAAUGGUUGGGGAGGGGGCAAUCUGGGCCUAGAGGAGAGAGACUUGAAACAGACAAACGCAAAGUUCCCUGGAUAUCAGGGAGACUGCAGAGAACAAGCUGAAGACUGGGGAUGUCUGGACACACACAGUUUGCAUGUUUGCAAACAAGGCAUGGGAAAGUCACAUGCCAUGUCAACGCUUGAAUUCAUUCAACACAUUCUUCUGACACCAGAGCAGAAAAAAGAGCUGGUUCUAGGAAGUGUACACCCUACCACACUCUUUUUGGCUGACCUAUGAGGGACAAAAACUUGUUAAUCAUCACCUGAGUGAUUCCUACCAUGAUAAGAAAAUGUAUUAUUGCCCUUGAUUGCAAGAGAUUUUUAGGAAGCAUCCUGAAAAUACAAUGAACUAAGGCUACGUGCUUUCAUCUGUUUUCCUUCAUUGAUCAUGAUCUGUUACUGCACAGCUACUGUUUCUGCAAUUCAUAUUUUUUCUGCUGUUCUGUGAUGAAAGUGAAUAAACAUAUUAGAACUACACACAUCUACUAAGAGUCAAAAAUAAAGGCUUGAGAUGACUAAUAUAAAUCACUGUUUAAGGGAGGGCUAGUAAGUCAGCUACAUUCCUAUCCUAAUGGCUAGAAGCUAAAUGGUUGCUCCCUGCUGAGUCAAUAAAAAUGUUUCAGCUUGUUUUUUAAUGCUGCAUGGAGGCUGUGUAGAGAUCUGUACGAAAUGUAUUUAUUAGUAAUAGCUUAGGGUCCAAACUUGUGAGACCUCCCUCCCAAUAUUGCCAAUCCCAUAAAAAUCAUGAACCAAGCCCCACAAAAUCAUGAGAGUGGCUUUUGCUUCUCAAAACUGAAAGCUAAGAUUCCCAUGUUAUCCCGUGGCUCCAGGAGCUGGGGCUUUUAGAAAAAAAAUCAACUAUCGGGAGUCUUACAAAACAAGUGUUCGUAGCCCUGCUCACAGUUGGAGUUCAGCACCUCACAGGAUCAGAUCCUUUUUGCUUAUUGUACUAUUAUAUACUUAGGCAUCUCCCCAUACAAAUCUUUCUAUUCCCCCUCAAGAUUUAGGUAAGCGCUUGAAUUGUCAGUUGCUUAUUUCUGCCCACUAAGCACUUUGCUGGCACUUCAAUAACUUUAACACAUAAGACCUGUGCAAGCUUAGCUUCUGAUAGUUAAAUUAGCCCACGGGCCCCUAAAAUGUACCAGGGUUCCCUGAGCCCCUUAAAGGUACCAGGUUUCCACCACUGUCAUCUCUGUAAUUGGCCAUACCCUAUGGAGCAAUGUGGAACACCAAACUCUUCCAGAUAGUUGGUAGCAUGCCAGAUGUACUGCAGACUCAGAGGCAAGCUCUCUCAUGACUGACUGAAAGGAGUGGGAAGGAUGAGAGAAAGGAAAGAGUGUGAAUACUGUAGCUAUAGUGGCUUAGGCAGUUAGAACAGAAGUUCCAUGCCGUAAUUUGUUCCCCACCUUAGGACCCUUCUAGUAUUAUCCAAUCCUUUAUUAGAGGACAAUUUAAGUUCUGGCCUGUAGAUCUCUCUAGCCAGAGUUGAGUUCUACCAUCUGUAGUCUCAUUGGUGGCCCCUCUGCAUUGUCCUCCUGUCACCCUGUCAUAGUGUUAGCUUCAGACCUGCUUACAAGCUACUACAGCUGUAUGAUGCUUCUACUACUACGACUGUGACCUCCUGUCAAUAUAGCCUAAUUCCUACUCAAGUCUCUGAUUCCUCACCUCAGUGCCAGGCUCGCUGUUGCUGCUGCUACAGUCCAAGUAAGAGCUCGCUGGCAGCUGGCCUAUGACCCUUUGCGUCACUCCUUGGGAGGGGAAGCAAAUGAGUGAAUUGGCUGUUCCAUAGAUUCAUCACACUAGCUUUGCAUCUGACAAUGGCUUUGAUUAAAGGAUCUGCAAGCAUUGCACAAGUGCCAAAGCAGACAGAAUGUGCCUGAUUUCUAAAACUGUCCCCCAACACUUGUAAUUCCAGGUUUUCACCCAUGAAUAACUGCUGACACAAAAGUGGAGUUAUAAUUAGCAAAUGUAAAGCAGAAUCACUUCAGUUUUGCUGCAUUCAAGAAUAGUGCUUGAGCUACCUAACUUGUAUGUGCAAAUACACAUGUGCACAUGCAAAUAGGAACAUGCACAAAGUGUAUGUGUCUGUAAAGAGAGAAGGUGGUUUGAUAAUAGAUGAAAAAUUGGCCUUAGUGGUGCUGUAUGAUGGAUGGAUAUUGGAAAAUAAUGAUGAAAGUUGUAAAAGGACUACAACCUCACUGCAGAAUGAGCACUCCCAUCCCUCCGCUGGCAUGACCUAGGAACAUGCUCUCAGGAUUCCUUUCCUGCCAGAAGGUCUGUCUCUGGCAACAUUUCUAAGGAUGCUCAGAUCUGUGGUUAAAGAGAGUAUAUAGGUGUUGAGUUUUUUCUCUUAACUGGUACAAAGGAAAAUAAGUCCAUGGACAGGAAGGGUCAAUAGAAGUAACUUCAGCCAAUAUGGAAUCAGUACAGGCUAUUCCUGUAGCUAGGGUGACCAGAUGUCCCGAUUUUAUAGGGACAGUCCCGAUUUUAGGGUCUUUUUCUUAUAUAGGCUCCUAUUACCCUCCACCCCCUGUCCCAAUUUUUCACAUUUGCUGUCUGGUCAGGUCAGCCUACCUGUAGCACAGCUGUAAUAAAGAUGUACGUAGGAGUUCUGGUGAGAGUCUAAUCUCUGUUUCCCGGUCAGAGUCACAUGACAUAGAUCAAAGUUAUAUCCCACCUCAAGAGCACUCCACAUUGGACUAAUUCUGCUCCCGCUGAAAACAAUGGGAGUAGAAUUAGGCCAACACUGAGCGUUUCUGAAAAUCCCAUCCUAUGUGUAGAAUACCCCCGCCAUAUCAGUUAGCCCAACUGCCACCUGCGCUUCCCUCAAGUCCCUCUUAAACUCAGCAAUCCUCACAAGGAGUUAGUUUUUAUUCCCUGCUUCUUGUUUUCCCAGCACAUCCCUCCUUGAUUCAUCAGGCUGUUAAACACUUGGCAGCAUAUUGUUGGCACUAAACAAAUAAUAAAAAUAACAAAAAUAAAACACUACAUAAAAUGCAGCUAUUUUAACAUGCUGCAUUCUGUCUCAAGGAAACAUCAGGGACAUUAGUGAAAAAGAUCCCUCGGAGGGUAUAGUUUCACCCCGGGGAAUUUUUUUUUUUUUGCCAUCUUGCUCUUUUCGUUAUUGAUCUGGGGAAAAAUCAAAUGACAAAUGCUCAAAACUUUGCAUCCCCAUUUAAAAUUGUCCAGGGUGGUGCCUCUUCUGCAGUUUUGCUCACAUGUUAAUAAAUUUUUCUCAUUUGUGAGAGUCACUGAACAGAGCCUGUGAAUUGUUUUACCCAGUAGGGGGUAGAGCAAUAAUGAAGCAUUGUGAUUAAAUAGUGUUGGAACCUCUUGCCUUCCUCACUGAGUGGGAGGCACCAUUAGUAGUAAAAGUAAUUACCUGUGUAGAACAUGCUGAUUGCAUUGAGUAUCUACUACAUGAUACCAAGAGUCUUGUAAACGUUAGGGGCUGUAAGAGAUCUUCAUUUGCUAAUUUCACAUUUUAAGCAGCAGCACAUAAUUUUUUUAAUGCGUUGGUGUUUAAAUUACAAAUAAGCUUUGUAAAGAGCUUUCCCCCAAGACUAGUCUUUUCUCAUCAAUGGUUGUUUUGGAAAAAAAAAAAAGGAA